AUUUUGCACAUGACAUCUUCAAAACCCACUAUGUUCUUACACUUCAUCACUAUAGUGUGUGUACAGAGAAAUAGUGGGUAUUGAAGAUGUUAUGCCUAAAAUAG
rnacentral:pre_miRNA from 1 species